CCCCGCACGACUUCAGCUCAUCCGCCUCGGUCUCGCGGCGCGGAGUGAUGACGUCACAGCGCUGCGCCGCACCACUUCCGCACGGCCGCUUCCGUCUCGCGGCGCAUGGUGAUGACGUCACACGACCCCGCGCAUCUCGCCCCAGUCAGCCCCGCAGCUCCUCCCUCGCCAGGCCCCAACGCGCCGCUCCAGUAACCGCCCUCAGCGCGGGCAGAAAGUAACCGACCUUUUAUUCUCAUUAUUGCUACUAAAAAUCUCUGCUGUCUUUUACGAAUUGCCGUGAAUUUCUACUCGGCACACGCAGGUGCGUUCUGCGUUUCCUCAGUUGCUCCGCGCAUCCAAUCUGAGACGGCCGAAGGCUUUGCGGGGCUCCUCCUGCUGAUACAAAGCGGAAAGCGCCGCGGCACAUCCGCACGGCUCCCUUUGCCAGCGGCAGAACCCUGACUUGCUCUGCUCCGCUCCCUGGGCUGCCGUGGGACGCCAGAACGGCGCUGCUGAUGGAGGAAGGCAGCUGCACUCCUCCCUCCCGCCAGCAGUCGUCCCUCCACACCCGCAGGAGGACGGUUUCCCUCCCAGCAGCCUGCCUCACGCACUGGCCAUACAUGCACGUGGAAGGUGUGGGCGAUCUCUCCGUCCACAUCGUAAACAAACAACCCCAGGAGAGUUUCACCUUCGUCCUCAUCCGCUCCCUCAAAGACAAGAGAUGAUGGCGGUCACACUUAGACAGGCCGUACAAAAAAGAACAUACCGAGGCCGAAGGUGGGAGCCCCUCCUCCCCCACAUCAGCUCUGGCAGGAUUGGAGCACAAAGGAGGGAACUGACCAGGAAACUGAGCAGGAUGCACUGCAGGAAGGCAGCUAGUCCCACAGUGUCCCACACUGCCAGUCUCAGACAGUAGAACGCAGGCAGGGCCAACAACUGGCAUGCCAGGUAAUUUCUGUGCUGCGCUCAUCCAGCUUCACUCACCUGAGUCACUGUGUACCUGCAGGCUCUUGCUGCCUGCCCUUGCACACUGGUCAGCAGCCAAACCUGAGCGUGUGGGCACAGUGCACGUGUAAAAGAAGCCAGAGAUGGCUCUCUGAAAAUGGGGUAUGGAGAGUUGUUCCAGCGCCGUGCAGAGAAGGUACUUGCAGACCUCUGUGAUGCUGCUCAGCUCCCACCACUUGCAGUUCCCAGAGAGUUGUGAGCUUUGCCCUUAUGCAACAAAGCCACCUGGGGGUGAUGAACGGGGUCCUGUGUGGUAGGAGCCUGCAGGAGUGUUUCUCCCCUGGUCUGGCUCUGGCUGUGCCCUGUGCUGGCUGGUUUCUCUCCCUGGUUGUAGGGAGAGCUGACAAAUGGCACAAGAGGACUGGUCCCUUCCAGUUUGGUUGCAGAGGUUUCAGAUGAUGAACUGGAUACACCUCAAGAUGCUGUGGGAAUUCCUGCAUUACUCCAUCUGCAAGACUACCCCCUGCUCCCCUUGAUGUUCAAGUGGAGUGUGUGCAGGAUGUGGAUGAGCUCCUACAAAACAAAACAAAAAAACAACCAAUUAAACACCCACAAUAAAACAAUCAAUCAAACAAAA